UACGAAGGGGGCUAGCGUUGCUCGGAAUCACUGGGCGUAAAGCGCACGUAGGCGGAUUGCUAAGUCAGGGGUGAAAUCCUGGAGCUCAACUCCAGAACUGCCUUUGAUACUGGCGACCUUGAGUCCGGGAGAGGUGAGUGGAACUGCGAGUGUAGAGGUGAAAUUCGUAGAUAUUCGCAAGAACACCAGUGGCGAAGGCGGCUCACUGGCCCAUUACUGACGCUGAGGCACGAAAGCGUGGGGAGCAAACAGG
rnacentral:rRNA from 1 species